UGGCUCAUUAAAUCAGUUAUCGUUUAUUUGAUAGUACCUUACUACUUGGAUAACCGUGGUAAUUCUAGAGCUAAUACAUGCUGAAAACCCCAACUUCGGGAGGGGCGUAUUUAUUAGAUAAAAAACCAAUGCCCUUCGGGGCUCUUUGGUGAUUCAUGAUAACUUAACGGAUCGCAUGGCCUUGCGCCGGCGACGGUUCAUUCAAAUUUCUGCCCUAUCAACUUUCGAUGGUAAGGUAUUGGCUUACCAUGGUUUCAACGGGUAACGGGGAAUUAGGGUUCGAUUCCGGAGAGGGAGCCUGAGAAACGGCUACCACAUCCAAGGAAGGCAGCAGGCGCGCAAAUUACCCAAUCCCGACACGGGGAGGUAGUGACAAUAAAUACUGAUACAGGGCUCUUUUGGGUCUUGUAAUUGGAAUGAGUACAAUUUAAAUCCCUUAACGAGGAACAAUUGGAGGGCAAGUCUGGUGCCAGCAGCCGCGGUAAUUCCAGCUCCAAUAGCGUAUAUUAAAGUUGUUGCAGUUAAAAAGCUCGUAGUUGAAUCUUGGGUCUGGCUGGCCGGUCCGCCUCACCGCGUGCACUGGUCCGGCCGGGCCUUUUCUUCUGGAGAGCCCCAUGCCCUUCACUGGGUGUGCGGGGGAACCAGGACUUUUACUUUGAAAAAAUUAGAGUGUUCAAAGCAGGCCUUUGCUCGAAUACGUUAGCAUGGAAUAAUAGAAUAGGACGUGCGGUUCUAUUUUGUUGGUUUCUAGAACCGCCGUAAUGAUUAAUAGGGAUAGUCGGGGGCAUCAGUAUUCAAUUGUCAGAGGUGAAAUUCUUAGAUCAAUUGAAGACUAACUACUGCGAAAGCAUUUGCCAAGGAUGUUUUCAUUAAUCAGUGAACGAAAGUUAGGGGAUCGAAGACGAUCAGAUACCGUCGUAGUCUUAACCGUAAACUAUGCCGACUAGGGAUCGGGCGGCACACAAUUUUGGUCCGCCCGGCACCUUACGAGA
rnacentral:rRNA from 1 species